UGUGCACUUGGGGAGGUCCCUCAGCCUGGAUUGCAAGAGGGCGCAGGCCAGGCCAAGGGACCCCACCAGUGCACU
rfam:Myotis brandtii contig201555, whole genome shotgun sequence.